CUUUGGAAUACUAGCAAACUAAGCGAGUUGAAAGCGAGUGCCUGCAUACAUGGUCAUAUGAAAGCUUUCAUGUUUUGUUUGCAGGUGCACUCUUCACUGCAACAUCUGCUAUGAAUUAUCCAGAGCCCAGACAGACGUACGACUCGUCCGAAUCGCAUCCUGGCAUGGCUGUCAUAUAGGGUGCAGGCGCUGGAGCGGAACUCAGACCGCAGGUGAGGUGCGCCUCUUUUCCCUCCACCGCGUCCCCUCCCGUUCCCUCAAGGCCUUGAGGGCCGCAGCACUUAGCGGUUAGCGGC